rfam:Peptococcaceae bacterium SCADC1_2_3 contig_4, whole genome shotgun sequence.
GAAAGCCGUGUGCGGGAAAACCGCAUGCACGGUUUGAUGAGGAAGGAUUGGCAAGUCUACUAUGGUGCGGCUAUUUAGGCACCGUCAAACGAAAGGGACGGAAACAGAUAAGCCAGCCUAAAGCGGUCAUUGCCAGUUCUCUACUCUAC